GGGAAGAUGUGACGAGGGGCACACUUGGUGCCUGAGCCCAGGAAUAAGAAUUAAACAGAGAUAAGAAGAGCUGAAGAAAAUAAACUGCCCAACACACCCUCAGGCCAGGAGCCAGUACCUGUUGCUGGAGAUCUCCAGAGGAAAGUAUCUUUUCUGGAGUCCCUGAUGCCAAGCACGGGGCUAGAAGUAAGAAAGAGUCUGAGAGGACAGUGUAGGGAAAGGUACCCUGGGAGAGGUGGCGCCUGCACCUCCAGAGACCCAUCUGAGGCCCAGCUGCCUUCCUGGAACAAUGAGGGCCUUGGUGACAUGACAAUUCACCCUGGGCCAGGAGAACGCCACCUGACUAUACCCUGAAGGGGUGCUUGUUCCACCAGCUCUCUGGGACCUGUUCUUCCUCUCUCCCUGAGGCCCCUCCGAUUCACCUGCUACCUCAUUCUCCAAGGAGGAAAGCUGUCAGUCAGUCAGCAGCAGCAAAGGGAGGGGGGCGGGGGGAGACACAGCCAUGAGCCAGCUACAGCCUUGGAAACUGAGGGGACUAUGACCCAGGAGGGGCCAUGGAAAGCCCAGGAGAGAGCCUUCAGCACCCUCAAAUCCUGCUGGGAAAAUCCAGCGGCACAGACGGCAAGUCAAGCCUGGAGCCUGUGGCAGUGUCACGGUAUAACAGACUCAGCUAGAAAGAGAGAAGUAAGAGGCUGCCCACCAGGAUCUGCCCCUCCCAGCCCCAGCCUACUUUCAGAGACCAGCCACAUCUGUAAGAUUCAUUUCUUCCCCAGCCCUCCCUGAAUACGUUCUGCACCUCUAGGCAUCCUUGGAGCCACCUCCAUUGUGGCUGUACCAUCAUGCACUGCCUGAAGCCACACAUACCACCACCACCACCCUGCUGGAGCC
rnacentral:lncRNA from 1 species